UCUAAACACGUAUAAAUGAUUUUCUCAUAGGAGCGCUGAGGAACACAGCCUGCAGACGAGACCGCAGGUUUACAGGGAAUUCAUUAAACUCUGGUUCAGUCUGUCCUAUCCUUGAUGUUUCUAUACUGCAUCAAAGUCCAACCAUUCAGCAUUCUUUAAAGCUCAGUUUGCUCUAUAAUUCAUGAAUCUGAGAUUUUGCGCUGGUCUCGCUCUGUGGCUUGCUUCCAGGAAGGGCAGGAGAGUUCAAAUGCCUGCUGAUAAACACUCAGGAUACUUAGCACACCAUAACUCAUAUAGACGCGUGCGUAUCUGUGUGCAUGCUCUAACCUGAGUGUUACAGUAACAGAGCGGGACAGAUGGACACUCACUGAAGGUUUCUAUCAGUCUGAUGGUUCCCAGGUUUGCUAUACACUGCAUCUGAGGAAGAACCAGAUACUGGACUUGACAGAGGUUGAGGUCUACAAACCCUGCAUGUCAAGUGCUUUCUCCGUGCUAAGAUGGUGAGAACAGAGGUGCCAGAUCAGUUUCCAUGACUCCCCUGCAGACCGCCAGCGAUGAGUUGCAGUGAAC